rnacentral:rRNA from 1 species
CCUUCUGUUAUGUGUCUAUGCCUUUUGGGCUCAAGAGUGCACAGGCGACUUACCAGCGCUGUGUGCAGAAUUGUCUUCAUAACCAAAUUGGGCGCAAUGUUCAUGCCUAUGUGGAUGAUCGUGGUUAAAUCCAGGGAGAAGGAGACCCUGGUAGAUGAUCUUAGGGAAACCUUUGAUAAUCUCCGGGUUUACAAGAUGAUGCUUAACCCGACCAAGUGUGUUUUCGGUGUUCCCGCAGGCAAGCUCUUGGGUUUUCUGGUUUCUCAUAGAGGCAUUGAAGCUAACCCGGAAAAGAUCAAGGCAAUCACCUCUCUGGCUAAGCCGGUGUGCAUAAACGACGUCCAGCGUCUGGCGGGCCGCAUCGCUGCUUUGAGCCGGUUUAUAAGCCGUUUGGGUGAAAAGGCCAUGCCACUGUACCAGUUGAUGAAGAAAACAGAUGACUUUGUCUGGAAUGAUGCUGCUAAUGCUGCUUUUGAG